GACGAACGCUGGCGGCGUGCUUAACACAUGCAAGUCGAACGAAAGUACCAAGCUUGCUUGGUUGAUUAGUGGCGAACGGGUGAGUAACACGUGAGUAACCUGCCCCUUACUUUCCUGGAUAACUGCUCGAAAGGGUAGCUAAUACGGGAUAUUCUGACCAUCCUGCAUGGGUUGGUUUGGAAAGGUUGUUUUUCUGGUAAGGGAUGGGCUCGCGGCCUAUCAGCUUGUUGGUGGGGUGAUGGCCUACCAAGGCUUUGACGGGUAGCCGGCCUGAGAGGGUGGACGGUCACACUGGGACUGAGAUACGGCCCAGACUCCUACGGGAGGCAGCAGUGGGGAAUAUUGCACAAUGGGCGCAAGCCUGAUGCAGCGACGCCGCGUGAGGGAUGAAGGCCUUCGGGUUGUAAACCUCUUUCGUCAGGGAACAAGGCAUUGCCUUUUUUGGUGGUGUUGAGGGUACCUGGAUAAGAAGCGCCGGCUAACUACGUGCCAGCAGCCGCGGUAAUACGUAGGGCGCAAGCGUUGUCCGGAAUUAUUGGGCGUAAAGAGCUCGUAGGCGGCUGGUCGCGUCUGUCGUGAAAACUUCCGGCUCAACCGGGGGCUUGCGGUGGGUACGGGCCGGCUAGAGUGCGGUAGGGGUAACUGGAACUCCUGGUGUAGCGGUGGAAUGCGCAGAUAUCAGGAAGAACACCGAUGGCGAAGGCAGGUUACUGGGCCGUUACUGACGCUGAGGAGCGAAAGCGUGGGGAGCGAACAGG
rnacentral:rRNA from 1 species